CUGGGACUUGACCUAGGGGAUGAGCCAGAAGGGGAAACUCAGCGGCUCCCUUCCUGCAAGAGCUGGUGGUCAGUGCACUGAGCUGCACCAGCCAAGGCCCGUGUUUAACUUUGAAGAGCUGCCAGACCGUCAGUGGCCAGAAGAUCCAGAGCCAGGAUGAAGCCUUAGCGGUGGCCUGUGAGAAGACAGUGUCGGCCAUGCACCAUGUUCUGCAGCGGACCAUCAAAUGUGCUCAAGCCCAGGCUGGGGAAGGACAGA